GAUGAAGAACGUAGCGAAAUGCGAUAAGUAAUGUGAAUUGCAGAAUUCAGUGAAUCAUCGAAUCUUUGAACGCACCUUGCGCCCUUUGGCCAUUCCGAAGGGCAUGCCUGUUUGAGUAUCAUGAGCACCUCAACUCUUUAUGGUUUUCCAUGAUGAGCUUGGACUCUGGGGGUUUUGCUGGCUCACAGUCGGCUCCUCUAAAAUGAAUCAGCUUACCAGUGUUUGGUGGGUAUCAUGGGUGUGAUAACUAUCUACGCUUGUGGUUUUUCCACCAGGUAACCUUCAGCAGUGGAGGUUCGCUGGAGCUCAUAGAUGUCUCUCCUCAGUGAGGACAGCCCUUUGAAUGUUUGAUCUCAAAUCAGGUAGGACUACCCGCUGAACUUAAGCAUAUCAAUAAGCGGAGGA
rnacentral:misc_RNA from 1 species